CCUACGGGAUGCAGCAGUGAGGAAUAUUGGUCAAUGGGCGAGAGCCUGAACCAGCCAAGUCGCGUGAAGGAUGACGGCCCUACGGGUUGUAAACUUCUUUUGUCAGGGAGCAAUUGGGUCCACGCGUGGGCUUAGCGAGAGUACCUGAAGAAAAAGCAUCGGCUAACUCCGUGCCAGCAGCCGCGGUAAUACGGAGGAUGCGAGCGUUAUCCGGAUUUAUUGGGGUUAAAGGGAGCGUAGGUGGGUUGUUAAGGCAGUUGUGAAAGUUUGGGGCUCAACCCUAGAAUGGCAAUUGAUCUUGGCAGUCUUGAGUACAGUUGAGGUAGGCGGAAGGCGUGGUGUAGCGGUGAAAUGCUUAGAUAGCACGAAGAACUCCGAUUGCGAAGGCAGCAUACUAA
rnacentral:rRNA from 1 species